UACGAAGGGGGCUAGCGUUGCUCGGAAUCACUGGGCGUAAAGCGCACGUAGGCGGCCUCUUAAGUCAGGGGUGAAAUCCUGGAGCUCAACUCCAGAACUGCCUUUGAUACUGAGGAUCUUGAGUUCGGGAGAGGUGAGUGGAACUGCGAGUGUAGAGGUGAAAUUCGUAGAUAUUCGCAAGAACACCAGUGGCGAAGGCGGCUCACUGGCCCGAUACUGACGCUGAGGCACGAAAGCGUGGGGAGCAAACAGG
rnacentral:rRNA from 1 species